rnacentral:sRNA from 1 species
UGGAUGGUGGGGGGAGUAAAUGGAUCCUUUUUGAAGAAGCUAAAUCGUUCAAGUUUUAUCCAUAUUUGAAAGUUCAUAGCAUGCGUCGUGAAGCGGAAAUACAGACAGUUUCAUCAGAUAGUCAGCUUGCUGCAGCCAUUUCAAAUAGACACGACCGACCUUAGUGAGGUUUUAAGCUAAACAUGUUUUUCUGGUUAUUUGGAUGGUACGCUCUUCCUGCAUUUACAGCAUAUAAAUAUUCAAUAUCAGGCAAGCUUGUGGCAUUUUUGAGAUAUCAUUACAACAUGAUAGAUAAUAUCUGAUAUCGUGAAGGAAGGCCUGUUCGGUGUGUAAUUCAUUUAUUAAUUUAUCAUUAUUUGUCUCUCUUGGCUUAUAUUUAUUUAUACAGCUACAAAAGACAAGGAUCAAAUAUAGAUUGAAUGUGAGAGGAAAUUACAAUAGACAUUAAUUAUAAGUUAUUAGUUAUAUUAUAAAUUAUUAUAGUUACCCCA